UGAGUCCGAGGGGCUAAGGCUCCAGAGUGGCUGAUGUCAUGCUUCCUAGAAAAGCCCUAAACACGUUAAUUUCAAGAUACCUGUACCCGAAACCGACACAGGUAGGGUGGUAGAGAAUACCGAGGGGCGCGAGAUAACUCUCUCUAAGGAACUCGGCAAAAUAACCCCGUAACUUCGGGAGAAGGGGUGCCCCCGCGAGGGGGUCGCAGUGAAGAGGCCCAGGCGACUGUUUACCAAAAACAUAGGUCUCCGCGAAGUCGAAAGACGCAGUAUGGGGGCUGACGCCUGCCCAGUGCCGGAAGGUUAAGGAAGUUGGUCAGGGACUUGUCCUAAAGCUAGCGACCGAAGCCCCGGUGAACGGCGGCCGUAACUAUAACGGUCCUAAGGUAGCGAAAUUCCUUGUCGGGUAAGUUCCGACCUGCACGAAUGGCGUAACGACUUGAGUACUGUCUCGACCCGGUGCUCGGCGAAAUUGCAGUCUCGGUGAGGAUUCCGAGUCCCCGCAGCAGGACAAAAAGACCCCAUGCACCUUUACUGCAGCUUGUCAUUGGACGUCGCAUUAGACUGUGUAGCAUAGCUGGGAGCCUAUGAGGCUCGGGCGCUAGCUCGGGCGGAGGCAACAGUGAAAUACCAGCCUGGCUUGUGUAACGUCCUCACCACGCUCGAGCAAACCUCGGCUGGGACCGUGGCAGGUGGGCAGUUUGACUGGGGCGGUCGCCUCCGAAAAAGUAACGGAGGCGCGCGCAUGGUCCCCUCAGCGCGGUCGGUACUCGCGCUCUAGAGUGUAACGGCACAAGGGGGCCUGACGGUGAGACCGACGGGUCGAACCGCCACGAAAGUGGGCCGUAGUGAUCCGGUAGCCCGGUGUGGAUCGGCUAUCGCGCAACGGAUAAAAGGUACGCUGGGGAUAACAGGCUUAUCGCGCCCGAGAGUUCACAUCGACGGCGCGGUUUGGCACCUCGAUGUCGGCUUAUCACAUCCUGGGGCUGGAGAAGGUCCCAAGGGUCCGGCUGUUCGCCGGUUAAAGUGGUACAUGAGCUGGGUUCAGAACGUCGUGAGACAGUUCGGUCUGUAUCCGCUGUGGGCGUUGGAGAGUUGAGGGGUGCGGACUCUAGUACGAGAGGACCGAGUCGGACGAUCCGCUCGUGUCCCGGCUGUCACGCCAGUGGCACCGCCGGGUAGCGAUGAUCGGCACGGAUAACCGCUGAAAGCAUCUAAGUGGGAAGCCGUCCCCAAGAUGAACUCUCCCUGAGACCUUGAGUCCCCUGAAGGGCCGUGGGAGACCACCACGUCGAUAGGUGGGGAGUGGAAAGGCAGUAAUGCCCUCCGAGCUAACCCAUCCUAAUCGCCCGUGCGGCUUGACU
rnacentral:rRNA from 1 species